GCCCUUAGAGUUUGAUCCUGGCUCAGAACGAACGCUGGCGGCGUGCUUAACACAUGCAAGUCCGACGUGAAAGGGGAGCAAUCCCCCGGUAGGGUGGCGAACGGGUGAGUGAGACAUGGGAAUCUGUCCUUGAGAUGGGGAUAUCCUUCCGAAAGGAGGGUUAAUACCGAAUACCGUCCGGUGGAUGAGAGUUCAUCGGGGAAAGGGAGGCCUCUGGCAACAUGCUUCCGCUCAAGGAGGAGCCCAUGGCCCAUCAGCUAGUUGGGAGGGUAACGGCCUACCAAGGCGAAGACGGGUAGCUGGUCUGAGAGGACGAUCAGCCACACUGGCACUGAGACACGGGCCAGACUCCUACGGGAGGCAGCAGUGAGGAAUUUUGCGCAAUGGGGGCAACCCUGACGCAGCAACGCCGCGUGUGGGAAGAAGGCUUUCGGGUUGUAAACCACUUUUGUAAGGGACGAAGUCCUUUCGGCAAAUAACCGAGGGGGAUGACGGUACCUUGCGAAUAAGCCACGGCUAACUCUGUGCCAGCAGCCGCGGUAAGACAGGGGUGGCAAGCGUUGUUCGGAGUAACUGGGCGUAAAGGGUCUGUAGGUGGUUUUUCAAGUCUUUGGUAAAACGCCGUGGCUCAACCAUGGUUUGGCCAAGGAGACUGGGAGACUCGAGGCUGGGAGAGGGAAGCGGAAUUUCUGGUGUAGCGGUGAAAUGCGUAGAGAUCAGAAAGAAGGCCGGUGGCGAAGGCGGCUUCCUGGAACAGACCUGACACUGAGAGACGAAAGCGUGGGGAGCAAACAGGAUUAGAUACCCUGGUAGUCCACGCCCUAAACGAUGGGAACUAAGUGUGGGGAGCAAUCCCCGUGCCGCAGCUAACGCAAUAAGUUCCCCGCCUGGGGAGUACGGCCGCAAGGUUGAAACUCAAAUGAAUUGACGGGGAAGGGC
rnacentral:rRNA from 1 species